rnacentral:rRNA from 1 species
CGUAGGUGGCAAGCGUUGUCCGGAAUUAUUGGGCGUAAAGCGCGCGCAGGCGGGAUAUCAAGUCUGUCUUAAAAGUUCGGGGCUCAACCCCGUGAUGGGAUGGAAACUGGUAUUCUUGAGUGUCGGAGAGGAAAGUGGAAUUCCCAGUGUAGCGGUGAAAUGCGUAGAUAUUGGGAGGAACACCAGUGGCGAAGGCGACUUUCUGGACGAUGUCUGACGCUGAGGCGCGAAAGCCAGGGAAGUGAACGGGAUUAGAUACCCCGGUAAUCCUGGCCGUAAACGAUGGGUACUAGGUGUAGAGGGUAUCGACCCCCUCUGUGCCGGAGUUAACGCAAUAAGUACCCCGCCUGGGGAGUACGGCCGCAAGGUUG